UUGAAUUUACAUGGGUUGUGCUGGUUUUACAAGUGCACGCCUAUAUCAAUUUCCAUACACCUGUGCACCUUUGUAGACUUGGAGGGAGAAAUCCCUUCUGGUCUGCGUUUUAUACACUCUUUUUAUUACAUUGAAUGUUUCUUGUCUUUUGACAAACAAAUUUAUA
rnacentral:misc_RNA from 1 species